rnacentral:rRNA from 1 species
AACGAACGCUGGCGGCAUGCCUAACACAUGCAAGUCGAACGAGACCUUCGGGUCUAGUGGCGCACGGGUGCGUAACGCGUGGGAACCUGCCCUUAGGUUCGGAAUAACUCCCCGAAAGGGGUGCUAAUACCGGAUAAUGUCUUCGGACCAAAGAUUUAUCGCCUUUGGAUGGGCCCGCGUUGGAUUAGCUAGUUGGUAGGGUAAAAGCCUACCAAGGCGACGAUCCAUAGCUGGUCUGAGAGGAUGAUCAGCCACACUGGGACUGAGACACGGCCCAGACUCCUACGGGAAGCAGCAGUGGGGAAUCUUGGACAAUGGGCGAAAGCCUGAUCCAGCAAUGCCGCGUGAGUGAUGAAGGCCUUAGGGUUGUAAAGCUCUUUUACCCGGGAUGAUAAUGACAGUACCGGGAGAAUAAGCUCCGGCUAACUCCGUG